UACAGAGGGUGCGAGCGUUAAUCGGAAUUACUGGGCGUAAAGCGCACGUAGGUGGCGACGUAAGUCGGGUGUGAAAGCCCCGGGCUCAACCUGGGAAUUGCAUUCGAGACUGCAUUGCUGGAGUACGGAAGAGGAGGGCGGAAUUCCCGGUGUAGCGGUGAAAUGCGUAGAUAUCGGGAGGAACAUCAGUGGCGAAGGCGGCCCUCUGGGACGGUACUGACGCUGAGACGCGAAAGCGUGGGGAGCGAACAGG
rnacentral:rRNA from 1 species